CUACCCUUAUCUUGCUGUGUGUUCUGUCUAUAAUGUGAAAUGUCCGCGGAAGGCUUCCAGCGGCGGCGGCCACUCCCUCCCUUUCUGAACGGCACAAAGCAUAGCCAUCGUUUCACCACAUCAGCAUAUUGGUGGUGACUUACGGAAGAGCACCCCCUGGAGGCGAGUGUUCCUGAAGCUCCUCUUGGCCCACCCAGUUCAGCUCAGAGCCAACACCAACCUGCUGGGUCUCCAUCUCAUCCAGCUCCUUCAGGGUCCUCAGAGGGAGCUCCAUGUCCAGUGCCUCCACCUCCUCUUCGUCGUCAGCAGUCUGACCCUGCAGUCGGGCUUGGAUGUCCCUCAGCACCACCCACUGCUUCUGUUGCUCUUCUUUGAUCUCCACCAGCAAGGAGAUGAUCUUUUGCAGAGUGCUGAUCUCUGGAGAAGAAAAAGAGAA
ensembl:lncRNA